ensembl:snRNA U6 U6 spliceosomal RNA
GUGCUCACUUCAGCAGCACAUACACUAAAAUUUGAACACAUAGAUUAGCGCAGUCCCUGCGCAAGGAUGACACGAAAAUUGUGAAGCCUUCCAUUUUUCA